rnacentral:rRNA from 1 species
AGUGGGGGAUAACGUAGCGAAAGUUACGCUAAUACCGCAUAUGCCCUGAGGGGGAAAGGAGGGGAUCGUAAGACCUUUCGCUUUCGGAGUGGCCGAUAUCAGAUUAGCUAGUUGGUGGGGUAAAGGCCUACCAAGGCGACGAUCUGUAGCGGGUCUGAGAGGAUGAUCCGCCACACUGGGACUGAGACACGGCCCAGACUCCUACGGGAGGCAGCAGUGGGGAAUUUUGGACAAUGGGCGCAAGCCUGAUCCAGCCAUGCCGCGUGAGUGAAGAAGGCCUUCGGGUUGUAAAGCUCUUUCGGACGGAAAGAAAUCCUAUCCGCUAAUACCGGGUGGGGAUGACGGUACCGUCAGAAGAAGCACCGGCUAACUACGUGCCAGCAGCCGCGGUAAUACGUAGGGUGCGAGCGUUAAUCGGAAUUACUGGGCGUAAAGCGUGCGCAGGCGGUUUUGUAAGACAGGUGUGAAAUCCCCGGGCUUAACCUGGGAACUGCAUUUGUGACUGCAAGGCUAGAGUGUGGCAGAGGGGGGUAGAAUUCCG